rnacentral:rRNA from 1 species
CCUACGGGAGGCAGCAGUGGGGAAUAUUGCGCAAUGGGCGAAAGCCUGACGCAGCAACGCCGCGUGGGUGAAGAAGGCCUUCGGGUCGUAAAGCCCUUUCGGACGGGACGAACGCUCCGCGGUGACAACCCGCGGAGUCUGACGGUACCGUAAGAAGAAGCACCGGCUAACUCCGUGCCAGCAGCCGCGGUAAUACGGAGGGUGCAAGCGUUGUUCGGAAUUACUGGGCGUAAAGGGCGCGUAGGCGGCAUGGCAAGUCAGAUGUGAAAGCCCCGGGCUUAACUCGGGAACUGCAUCUGAAACUGCUUUGCUCGAGUCCUGGAGGGGGCAGUGGAAUUCCCAGUGUAGCGGUGAAAUGCGUAGAUAUUGGGAGGAACACCUGCGGCGAAGGCGGCUGCCUGGACAGUGACUGACGCUGAUGCGCGAAAGCUAGGGGAGCAAACGGGAUUAGAUACCCCGGUAGUCCUAGCCGUAAACGAUGGGCACUUGGUGUCGGGGGUCUUGAGUCCCUCGGUGCCGGAGUUAACACAUUAAGUGCCCCGCCUGGGGAGUACGGUCGCAAGACUGAAACUUAAAGGAAUUGACG